UGGAUGGCAUCACUGAUUCAAUGGACAUGAGUUUGAGCAAACUUCAAGAGAUAGUGAAGGAUAGGGAAGCUUGGUGUGCUGUAGUCCAUGGGAUCACAAAGAGUCAGACACAACUGAGCCAGUGAGUGAAAAAUGCUCUAAGAAACUGCCCAUCCUCACCCCAUAAGCCUUUUCUAGGGGAGCAGUAAAUGCCUACAGCUUUCUCAUACUCACAAUCUCCCAACCACACUUACUACCUUUGUGGUCCCUUGGGAAGACUUUGCUUCCUGGACCAUGGUAGAUCCCUGCCCCAUUAUUCACUUCACUCUUUGGCAUACUAUGGCAUUCUGAUGUAGCUUUUUUCUACAAUCCAGAUUCCAGAAAAUAGAGAUUUCCCAAGGGCCAUUUCUCUUAGCUCUUAUUGCUGUGCAUAUUCCAAAUAGCAAAAUUAUCUCUGUGCAAAUAUCAGACAUCUUUCUAUGUGUGUAUAGCAUCUUAGAAAUGCAAAAAGUGAAUGGUCAGAGUUUUUAAAAGAGCAACUAAAAUGAAAACAAGUUAUUAAAGUCUGGUUGGAAUUAUGAAAGAGACCUGCAGAGGAAAUUCUAUUUCAAGGGGCUGCUGAGCCUCGAUUCUUAGAGCCCUGGAAAUGCACGUGUUUUCUGAUUCCUCUGAAUACAUCUGCUCUGCCCCCUACCUGCACCCCACACUCUGAGCUGGACAGGCAGCUGCUGACUCAGUCCUCAACUGGCUGCACGUGGUGGGAGGAAUGUUAAUUAUUGCCUGUAAUCUACACAUUAUCCUGGAGAAAAUAACAAGGUAACUACCCGUGUUUAAGAAAUACAUUUAUGGAGGUGAGUGCUGCAGUCAAGGGAAUGGGCGUUUUGCAGGCAAGUAUUUAGGCAGGAAUGUGAACCCUUUUCUCUCACCCCCUACACAGGCACCCGAGACAGAGAUUCAUCAAGCCAGAGAAUGUCAAGGCCAUGUUCUUAUGCUGAAGGGAUCUUAGCAAGUAUCUGUUCCUUUCCCAGAGAAGGAGCUCUGGAGAGUCAAAGAUCUCCUUUGCUGUGUUUACCUGGAAGAGCAGUUUCCACAGAGUGAAGACGUUGAUGAGAAGGCAAGAAGACUGCUCAGAACUCUUCAGGAAAGAAUGAAUCCAACCAACAUCUACAGAGAAUAAAGUAACAGAAUCUUUCUCCAGAGUCCUGUUCUUUCCAGCCACAUGAAAAAGCCUGUUUUAUCCAGUACUGUCCAAGACAGGAUUCUCAGUCUGCCUACCUCUGUGACUCAGUCGAAAGAUUAUGCGGCUAUCAUACCAAGCCACAUACCAAAGCUCAGCUUUUAUUAAUAAAAAGGCAAACUACCAUCUGAGCUACCAGAGAAUCCCUGUGGAUGAGGAAUCCAGGCACAGUUAAUCUGAAUGCCAAUGCGACAAAGUCUCUCAAAAGGUUGCAAUCCAUUUGAACUGCAUCUGCGGUCUUAUGUGAUGGUUCAACAGGUGAGAAUUCAUUUUCAAGCUCAUUCAUGUUGUCAUCAGAAUUCAGUAUCUUGUUGGCUGUUGGCAAGAGGUCUCCCUCAGCUCCUUGCCACAAGGAACCUCACCUAACAGCUCACAUGUGGCAGGCAGCUGGCUUGGCUCAAAGUUUAAGGAGAGAGCAAGAGAGUGGUCCCACACAGAAGCCACAGUCUCUUUGUAACCAGUUCUCGGAAGUAGCAUCCUGAUUACUUUUUGCUAUAUUCUUUUCUCUGGCAGUGAGUCAUGGUCCACACUCAAAGGUAGGAGAUUACACAGGAUGCAAAUACCCAGAGGCUAGGAUCACUGCAGACCAUUUUAGAGGCUGUCCACGCCCCAAACUAACAUU